GAUGAACGCUAGCGGGAGGCCUAACACAUGCAAGCCGAGCGGUAUUGUUUCUUCGGAAAUGAGAGAGCGGCGUACGGGUGCGGAACACGUGUGCAACCUGCCUUUAUCUGGGGGAUAGCCUUUCGAAAGGAAGAUUAAUACUCCAUAAUAUAUUGAACGGCAUCGUUUAAUAUUGAAAGCUCCGGCGGAUAGAGAUGGGCACGCGCAAGAUUAGCUAGUUGGUGAGGUAACGGCUCACCAAGGCGAUGAUCUUUAGGGGGCCUGAGAGGGUGAUCCCCCACACUGGUACUGAGACACGGACCAGACUCCUACGGGAGGCAGCAGUGAGGAAUAUUGGUCAAUGGGUGCAAGCCUGAACCAGCCAUCCCGCGUGAAGGACGACUGCCCUAUGGGUUGUAAACUUCUUUUGUAUAGGGAUAAACCUACCCUCGUGAGGGUAGCUGAAGGUACUAUACGAAUAAGCACCGGCUAACUCCGUGCCAGCAGCCGCGGUAAUACGGAGGGUGCAAGCGUUAUCCGGAUUUAUUGGGUUUAAAGGGUCCGUAGGCGGACUUAUAAGUCAGUGGUGAAAGCCUGUCGCUUAACGAUAGAACUGCCAUUGAUACUGUAAGUCUUGAGUAUAUUUGAGGUAGCUGGAAUAAGUAGUGUAGCGGUGAAAUGCAUAGAUAUUACUUAGAACACCAAUUGCGAAGGCAGGUUACCAAGAUAUAACUGACGCUGAGGGACGAAAGCGUGGGGAGCGAACAGGAUUAGAUACCCUGGUAGUCCACGCCGUAAACGAUGCUAACUCGUUUUUGGGCUUUAGGGUUCAGAGACCAAGCGAAAGUGAUAAGUUAGCCACCUGGGGAGUACGCUCGCAAAAGUGAAACUCAAAGGAAUUGACGGGGGCCCGCACAAGCGGUGGAUUAUGUGGUUUAAUUCGAUGAUACGCGAGGAACCUUACCAAGACUUAAAUGGGAAUUGACAGCUUUAGAAAUAGAGCUUUCUUCGGACAAUUUUCAAGGUGCUGCAUGGUUGUCGUCAGCUCGUGCCGUGAGGUGUUAGGUUAAGUCCUGCAACGAGCGCAACCCCUGUCACUGGUUGCCAUCAUUCAGUUGGGGACUCUAGUGAGACUGCCUACGCAAGUAGAGAGGAAGGUGGGGAUGACGUCAAAUCAUCACGGCCCUUACGUCUUGGGCCACACACGUAAUACAAUGGCCGGUACAGAGGGCAGCUACACAGCGAUGUGAUGCAAAUCUCGAAAGCCGGUCUCAGUUCGGAUUGGAGUCUGCAACUCGACUCUAUGAAGCUGGAAUCGCUAGUAAUCGCGCAUCAGCCAUGGCGCGGUGAAUACGUUCCCGGGCCU
rnacentral:rRNA from 1 species